CUGCGACUUAAAAAGCUGAAGUCUCUGGAGGUGGAAGCUGCUAAAUGUUGGACAUUGACAGACCUAUUUGGUGCCGGGGUCACCACCCCAGCAGGUGCUGCUGCGCCGGGAGACGAGCGAGUGGAGGCAGACAUGGUUGACCACUUGACAUGUGAGAGCCUGAGGAGUUGUUCCCCCUCCGUCCAUUUUCAAGGACUUGCUCUCUCUCUGCCUCCACUUCACCACUUUUUGGCUACUGAGACGUCUCUGAUUGGUUGAGUUGACCACCCUAUGUAUGAGAGCCUAAGA